GCGAGUGGCGAACGGGUGAGUAAUAUAUCGGAACGUGCCCUAGAGUGGGGGAUAACUAGUCGAAAGACUAGCUAAUACCGCAUACGAUCUACGGAUGAAAGUGGGGGAUCGCAAGACCUCAUGCUCCUGGAGCGGCCGAUAUCUGAUUAGCUAGUUGGUGGGGUAAAAGCCUACCAAGGCAACGAUCAGUAGCUGGUCUGAGAGGACGACCAGCCACACUGGGACUGAGACACGGCCCAGACUCC
rnacentral:rRNA from 1 species